rnacentral:rRNA from 1 species
GACGAACCGUGCGAACGUUGUUCGGAAUCACUGGGCUUAAAGGGCGCGUAGGCGGCUUGCCAAGUCCGGGGUGAAAUACUUCAGCUUAACUGGAGAAGUGCCUUCGAUACUGGCAGGCUUGAGGGAGGUAGGGGUCUGCGGAACUUCUGGUGGAGCGGUGAAAUGCGUUGAUAUCAGAAGGAACGCCGGUGGCGAAAGCGGCGGACUGGACCUCUUCUGACGCUGAGGCGCGAAAGCUAGGGGAGCAAACGGG